rnacentral:lncRNA from 1 species
GCUCAAACAGAAAGACCUAUGACUGAUGAACGCAGAAGGCCCGCCCAGGAGUUGGGGAGCCCUCAGGAGGCCAGAGCAGUGCAAACUAAAAUGAUGGCACACCCGGAAUCUCCUUGAGAGAGAGGGCACAGCCUCCCAGAGCUGCCCCGCCCGCAGGGGAAGGUCCCGAGGGGGCCUUGACCAACAGGAAACCACGCGCCGGGCAGCAGCGAAGCCCAGUAAUUGGGGCGGUGCUUCGCGCGAAGAGGGAAUUAAAAAGACAAAAAACACCUCGAACUCUGCUCCCAGGAGCCCCGCUGUGGGGCGGGGAAAGCAGUCGUUGGCCAAUGAGAGCAGCUGUUCCCCUGGCCCCGCCCCUGCUGCCUUCCCGCCCUUUACCCAGGCAGGAGGGCGCCGGCUCCUCGAGGCCGGGUGGCGGGCGAGGGAGGGAAUCGGUUAGGGCUCACGGGGAGCGCACGAGGAAUAAGCAGAGCGAACACAGACUAAUAAUUGUCAAGGGGCGAAAGGUGUCUGUUAGGGUCGGGCCAGGGGCCAGAGAGCGAAAGGAGCACCCAGAGGGAAGGUUGCGUCUGCGAGGCUGGGGAGAGGAGCGCGCCGGCCCAGCGGACGGCUGAGGAAUCUGAGAAUUGUCUGUCUCACGGACCACCAUUUUGUGGUUACUCUGUUUAUGUUUACUACCUUCAGAAAUAAAUUGUUCCUCUGGUUACCUUCCUUCAGGGUCCCUUUCCUCACAUGAAGGGCCCCGUCAAUCAAACUAUUUAUCUUUCUACUAUUUGAGGAGAACAUUGAACUAAGGCAAGAAAAAGAGGAAUUUCCAGGGGUUGGCCCCGUGGCCGAGUGGUUAAGUUUGCACGCUCCCCUGCGGCGGCUCAGGGUUUUGCUGGUUUGGAUCCUGGGCGUGGACAUGGCACCGCUCGUCAGGCCACGUUGAGGCGGUGUCCCACAUGCCACAACUAGAAGGACCUGCAACUAAGGUAUACAACUAUGUACCAGGGGGAUUUGGGGAGAUAAAGCAGAAAAAAAAAAAAAAAGAGGAAUUUCUAAAUGGGAUACUACCAUGAUUGUGGGCAGAUGUCGUGUGAGUGAAUCUGUGGUAAAACUUGUGGGAUAGUACUAGACUUGAGCUUUAUCUAAUAUUGAUCUUCCCUCUGAAAUUUCAUUGGGUCUAUUCAUCACUGACCUCAUCUUAGACUCAGAAUUAAGGAAAAGUGACAGAAUGGGAAACGUUAAUUAGGUGAGUCAGUAUCUAAAAACUCCUAGCAUGGAACUUUUGAGUAAAUUUUGAGCUAGCAAGCGUUGCUUAGUCUCAAGGCUCAAGUGAGGGGUCUCACUUUCCCCUGGUCCCCAACUCUAAAUUUUGGAACCUAUACUCCCAGGGGUGCUUGCAAAGAGAAAAACAUAGCAUGAGUCCCCAUGAGGAGCCGUGAAUCCACUUAUGCAAUAAGCUCUAUGUGGAAGAGGAAGAUGAAAUAAGGGUGGCUGGCCUGCCCCCUGGGGGCUAAGGUCAGCUGAGGCAAGAAGGCAAGAGGGUGCAUGAGGUCUUUAGAGCUUAUAUAAUUUCCAUGGUUUCUAAGGCUUCGUGCAUAAAUAUGAAAACAUAGGCUUUUUUUCACUGAUGAUGAAUACACAGUCCAUUUGACUACCAUAUGAUAAACACAAUCAGGAAAAAGAAAAUUUCAAACGUGUAGUAAUGACACUGCUGUAAAUAGACCAGUGUGAUAUAUUGCGGAAGGAAAAGGUAAUCAAGGUCCCUGUGAACUAAAUUAUGACAUAGGGCUGGAGAGUUGAUAUAUCCCUGAGGUAGGACAGUGAAGGUGCAUUGCUGGUCUUGUCAGGUGAAAACAAACUGCUUCGGGUGGUCUUUACUAACAGGUGUCAAGAAAGAAGCGUUUGCCAGAUUAAUAGCUGCAUACCAGGUACCAGGGGAUGUGUUAAUUUGGUCAAGCAAUGAAACCACACAGAUGUGUGGUUUCAUUACAGCAGCUGCAAUUGGAGUCAAUCCCUGGUUAAGCUUAUGAUGAUAAUCCACUGUCAUUCUCCAAGAUCCAUCUGGCUUCAGCACAGGCCACGUAGGAGAUUUGAAUGGGGAUGUGGUGAGAAUCACCACGCCUGCAUCCUUCAAGUCCUUGAUGGUGGUGCUAAUCUUUGCAAUCCCUCCAGGAGUGUUGUAUUGCUUUUGGUUUACUGUUUGCCCAGGCAGAGGUGGUUCUAGUGGCUUUCACUUGGCCCUUCCGGCCAUAAUUGCCCUCACUCCACAGGGAGUGAAUGUGGGGAUUCUGCCAGUUGCUGAGCAUGCAUUCUAAAAAUGGGGAAAUAACCACAGGAUAAGUUUGGCAAUCUAGUGGGCCCUCUGUGAGAUGGAUCUGAGCUAAGCUUCCAUUGAUCACCUAAUCUCUAUAAGUCCUUAUUCUCACCGGUGGACCACAGUGACGUUUUGGGUCUCCUGGAAUUUGUGUUAGUUCAGAAUUAGUGUCCAGUAGUUACUGAAAGGUCUGAUGUUUUCUUUUCCCCAGUGCAUAGCAACUGUGGUGAAAGGCCAUAGGUCCCUUUGGGGAAGGCUGAGAAAAAGAUUAACAGUAUAAAUUUUAUAUAUCUCAAGAGAUUUAUUAUGAGGAAUUGGCUCAUAUGAUUAUGGAGGCUGAGAAAGUGCCACAAUCUGCUAUCUGCCACCUGGAGACAAGGAAAGCUUGUGGUGUGGUUCCAGAUCAAUUCCGAAGGUAUGAGAAUUGGAGCACCAAUGAGGUAAGUCCCAGUCCAAGGACAGGAGAAGACCAAUGCCACAGCUCAAGCAGUCAGACAAAGAAAGCAAAUUCUUUCCUCUGUCUUUUUAUUCUUUUCAGGCCCUCAACAAAUUGAAUGAUGCCCAAUCACUUUGGGAAGAAAAAUCUGCUUUACUCAGUGUGCCUAUCCCAAUGCUAGUCUCUUUCAGAAACACCCUCACAAACACACUAGAAAUAAUGUUUAACCAAAUAUUUGGGCAUCCUGUACCACCACCAAACUGACUAAUAAAAUUAACCAUCACAUGUCCGUUGUUCCCUCUUGCCCCGCUGGCUCAGGUUACUCUAGCAAGCCACUCAUAUUCAGACAUUUCAAGGCAAAAUGUAGGCACACAUAUUUAGGAACAUAUAAAUGUGACAAGCUCCCCACAAAAUUUGAUGGCAACAUCAUCAAUUGCACCAUUCUGUGAGCAUCCAACCAUAUAUUUAUACACGUGCCUCUCCUUUCUAAAUGCAACCCCCAAAACCUACUGGGAAUUUUCUUAGGACCUCCUUCCUCACACGUCUUGGGCUGGUGGUAGAGGAAGCUUACCUGUCCUCUAUGAGAAAGGAGAAAAAAGCCAUAAAUCUCUCCUAGGCUGUCACAGCUGUCACAAUUCUGACAAUUUCUUCUUCUCUCCUCCCCAGUCUUCUAAUGUUAUAAAUUGGGAAGGGUAGUGUAGACAGCUGAAUGUGGCAGAACUGAUUUGUCUGCAAAUUAUUGAACCCAGAGGGAGUAUCUGACCCCAAGGGUGGUUGGCUCCUUGGUGGUGGCUCUCUUUAGAACAUGAGGAAUGCAAUACCUCUAUGCCUCACUACAGGCCCCAGGCACCAGUUCUGGAGCAACCGGUAUAUUUCCACUCAACGUUUCUUACAUUUACAGUGAUUUCUUUUUUUAAAAUGUUACACAACUGUAAGUGGAAACAGUGGUUGCCUCUGGCAAAGGAAACUUGGAAACUAGAGACAUAAUUAUGUGUCCAUAUUACCUACUUAGAAAUAAUCUUAAAAAGGGAAAACAGGGGACUUAUGAAUUGGCUGUGCCAGAAUAGUUUCUGGACGAUGGUAGUGCUAACAGCCUGAUGGAAGUGGAUUAAGGCAUGCAUUUCCAGGGCAGGAUGUCCCUCCGGUGAAGAAGUUAAGCUUGGAGUAGUGGACCUGAAGAAGGCAUUGUUUAGCUGGAGGGGCAAAUAUUUUGGAUAUUUGUGAGGACUUGGGUGAGGCUAGAGAGAAUUUCUAGAAUGAGACUUUCUAAACGAUAUUAGUAUUCAUGGAUGACAUAAUGAAUCUGUGUAUUAGCAUUUCCUGUGUAGUCAUUCAUUCAAUAAACUGCCAGAGAAUAUAGUUCCACAAAGACAGGGGAUUUUGGCUCUUGUUUACUGAUGUAUCCCUGGCACUUAGAACAGUGCCUGGGAAAUGAUAGGCAUUCUGUAUCAAUCUUUAGAAUGAAUAAAUGAAUGUGGAUGACACAGAUAAGAUCAAUAUCCAAAGUCAUAAUGGCACCCAUGAAAACUAAUUCUGGGUAAUGCCAUGUAGUUCCUGUCAGCAGAACAGCUCCCCUCAGUCACUGCACAUCCCUGCCUUCCAAUGAGGUGGGGGAAGCUCUGGAGGAAGAAAGGAGGAGAAGCUGUUUAGGGUGAGAGUAGCUGGAGGAGAGACUAGAGCAAGCAGCCCCAAGCCUGGGAUGCCAUGUCAUAAGUUUCCCUCUGAUUUUUUUUCUUUCAUAUUCUUACUCUAAUCUCAAGAUAAUACCAUAAAAACAGAUUCCUAAAUUUCUGAGGAUGGGAAUGGGGCCUGGGAGCACAGAUCUCCUCUAAUUUGCAUGUCCAAGUCCAAUUUAAAAAAUACACAAAGAUCUCUCUAGGUCACAUUAAAAAGUUUUUAUUAAUUUCUGAUUUUAG